rnacentral:rRNA from 1 species
UACGAAGGGGGCUAGCGUUGUUCGGAAUUACUGGGCGUAAAGCGCACGUAGGCGGCUUUCUAAGUCGGGGGUGAAAUCCUGGAGCUCAACUCCAGAACUGCCUUCGAUACUGGAAAGCUCGAGUCCGGGAGAGGUGAGUGGAACUGCGAGUGUAGAGGUGAAAUUCGUAGAUAUUCGCAAGAACACCAGUGGCGAAGGCGGCUCACUGGACCGGUACUGACGCUGAUGCGCGAAAGCGUGGGGAGCAAACGGG